rnacentral:rRNA from 1 species
AUUGAACGCUGGCGGCAGGCCUAACACAUGCAAGUCGAGCGGAUGAAGGGAGCUUGCUCCUGGCUUCAGUGGCGGACGGGUGAGUAAUGCCUAGGUAUCUGCCUGGUAGUGGGGGAUUACGUCCGGAAACGGGCGCUAAUACCCCAUACGUCCUGCGGGAGAAAGUGGGGGGUCUUCGGACCUCCCGCUAUCGGAUGUGCCUUCGGGGGUUUAGCUAGUUGGUGGGGUAAAGGCCUACCAAGGCGAAGAUCCGUAACUGGGCUGAGAGGAUGAUCAGUCACACUGGAGCUGAGAGACGGUCCAGAUUCCUACGGGAGGCAGCAGUGGGAAAGAUUGGAGAAGGGGCGAAAACCGGAUCCAGGCAGGACGCGUGUGGGAAGAAGGUCGUCGGAUUGUAAAGCACUUUAAGUUGGGAGGAAGGGCAGGAAGUUAAUAAAGUGCUGUGUGAACGUAACCAACAGAAUAAGCACGGCCUAAUAUCGU